rnacentral:rRNA from 1 species
UACGUAGGGUGCAAGCGUUGUCCGGAAUUAUUGGGCGUAAAGAGCUCGUAGGCGGUCUGUCGCGUCGGCUGUGAAAUCCCGGGGCUCAACCCCGGGCCUGCAGUCGAUACGGGCAGACUAGAGUGCGGUAGGGGAGACUGGAAUUCCUGGUGUAGCGGUGAAAUGCGCAGAUAUCAGGAGGAAUACCGGUAGCGAAGGCGGGUCUCUGGGCCGUAACUGACGCUGAGGAGCGAAAGCGUGGGGAGCAAACAGG